GCCUACCUGAUGAGUCCCAAAAAGGGCGAAACUGGUCGUGGGC
rfam:Clonorchis sinensis DNA, scaffold: 1395, strain: Henan.